UACGUAGGGUGCGAGCGUUAAUCGGAAUUACUGGGCGUAAAGCGUGCGCAGGCGGUUCGUCGUGUCCGAUGUGAAAGCCCCGGGCUCAACCUGGGAAUGGCAUUGGAAACUGGCGGACUCGAGUGUGGCAGAGGGGGGUGGAAUUCCGCGUGUAGCAGUGAAAUGCGUAGAGAUGCGGAGGAACACCGAUGGCGAAGGCAGCCCCCUGGGCUAACACUGACGCUCAGGCACGAAGGCGUGGGGAGCAAACAGG
rnacentral:rRNA from 1 species